GGAUCGUAAAACUCUGUUAUUGAAGAAGAACAUGCGUGAGAGUAACUGUUCACGUACUGACGGUAUUCAAUCAGAAAGCCACGGCUAACUACGUGCCAGCAGCCGCGGUAAUACGUAGGUGGCAAGCGUUGUCCGGAUUUAUUGGGCGUAAAGAGAAUGUAGGCGGUUUAUUAAGUUUGAAGUGAAAGCCCUCGGCUCAACCGAGGAAGUGCUUCGAAAACUGGUAAACUUGAGUGCAGAAGAGGAAAGUGGAACUCCAUGUGUAGCGGUGGAAUGCGUAGAUAUAUGGAAGAACACCAGUGGCGAAGGCGGCUUUCUGGUCUGUAACUGACGCUGAGAUUCGAAAGCAUGGGUAGCAAACAGGAUUAGAUACCCUGGUAGUCCAUGCCGUAAACGAUGAGUGCUAAGUGUUGGAGGGUUUCCGCCCUUCAGUGCUGCAGCUAACGCAUUAAGCACUCC
rnacentral:rRNA from 2 species